CUUGGUCAUUUAGAGGAAGUAAAAGUCGUAACAAGGUUUCCGUAGGUGAACCUGCGGAAGGAUCAUUAACAAAUCAUGUUGUCGUGUAGUUGGGUCUUUGGAUCCUUCUCUCGGCAUGUACACCCCAAGCCUGGGCAGUAGUCCGGGCUUUGGUCAUUGACCGCCUGUCACAGGGAGGUCGAUACAUAGACGCUUGUAUGUUUGACAGAGUUUUGGUUUGCAAUACAAAAUUGACAACUUUUAACAAUGGAUCUCUUGGCUCUUGCAACGAUGAAGAACGCAGUGAAAUGCGAAAAGUAAUGCGAUUUGCAUGAAUCUGUGAGUCAUCAAGUUUUUGAACGCACCUUGCACCGUAUGAGCAAUUGUACGGUAUACCUGUUUGAGAAUCGUAAAAAUCCAUUCUAUGCUCCUAAUGAGUGGUAGAGACUUGUCUGUUGAGCGCGCUCACGUGUGCUCUCAGACUAAAUGCAGUAGGCUUGGAACAGGCUGGUGGCCUGGGACAUUGUGUGAUAGAGACGUCGCCGUUAGGCAGACAGUCUUCUCAUAAUGGGUCCUAGGCUAUUCCAAAACUGGUCUGGUUCGGGCCUCUACAGUCAAAGCCCUUUAAACGGCCGCGACAACCCCACUUUUUGAUCUCAAAUCAGGUAAGGCUACCCGCUGAACUUAAGCAUAUCAAUAAGCGGAGGA
rnacentral:rRNA from 1 species